CCUACGGGUGGCAGCAGUGGGGAAUAUGGGACAAUGGGGGGAACCCUGAUCCAGCCAUGCCGCUGGUGUGAAGAAGGCCCUCGGGUUGUAAAGCACUUUCAGUGAGGAAGAACGCCUGGUGGUUAAUACCCAUCAGGAAAGACAUCACUCACAGAAGAAGCACCGGCUAACUCCGUGCCAGCAGCCGCGGUAAUACGGAGGGUGCGAGCGUUAAUCGGAAUUACUGGGCGUAAAGCGCGCGUAGGUGGCUUGAUAAGCCGGUUGUGAAAGCCCCGGGCUCAACCUUGGAACGGCAUCCGGAACUGUCAAGCUAGAGUGCAGGAGAGGAAGGUAGAAUUCCCGGUGUAGCGGUGAAAUGCGUAGAGAUCGGGAGGCAUACCAGUGGCGAAGGCGGCCUUCUGGACUGACACUGACACUGAGGUGCGAAAGCGUGGGUAGCAAACAGGAUUAGAUACCCCAGUAGUC
rnacentral:rRNA from 1 species